rnacentral:rRNA from 1 species
CAGACUUUGAUCCUGGCUCAGGAUGAACGCUAGCUACAGGCUUAACACAUGCAAGUCGAGGGGAAACGACAUCGAAAGCUUGCUUUUGAUGGGCGUCGACCGGCGCACGGGUGAGUAACGCGUAUCCAACCUGCCCACCACUUGGGGAUAACCUUGCGAAAGUAAGACUAAUACCCAAUGAUAUCUCUAGAAGACAUCUGAAAGAGAUUAAAGAUUUAUCGGUGAUGGAUGGGGAUGCGCCUGAUUAGCUUGUCGGCGGGGUAACGGCCCACCAAGGCAACGAUCAGUAGGGGUUCUGAGAGGAAGGUCCCCCACAUUGGAACUGAGACACGGUCCAAACUCCUACGGGAGGCAGCAGUGAGGAAUAUUGGUCAAUGGACGAGAGUCUGAACCAGCCAAGUAGCGUGCAGGAUGACGGCCCUAUGGGUUGUAAACUGCUUUUAUAAGGGAAUAAAGUGAGUCUCGUGAGACUUUUUGCAUGUACCUUAUGAAUAAGGACCGGCUAAUUCCGUGCCAGCAGCCGCGGUAAUACGGAAGGUCCGGGCGUUAUCCGGAUUUAUUGGGUUUAAAGGGAGCGUAGGCCGGAGAUUAAGCGUGUUGUGAAAUGUAGACGCUCAACGUCUGCACUGCAGCGCGAACUGGUUUCCUUGAGUACGCACAAAGUGGGCGGAAUUCGUGGUGUAGCGGUGAAAUGCUUAGAUAUCACGAAGAACUCCGAUUGCGAAGGCAGCUCACUGGAGCGCAACUGACGCUGAAGCUCGAAAGUGCGGGUAUCGAACAGGAUUAGAUACCCA